UAGACAUAAGGGCUUUUCGCAACCACUUUCUACGGGUUUGAAUAAGACGAGCCAUGGUGGCAGGCUACAGUGCAUGCCUCUCUCUCGCUGUCACACUCUUGCUGGCGCGGGGGGUCGUUUUGCGGGGUUGAGCGUGGGGGCGAAUGGGUCGAGGGUAGUCUAGGGACUUCGGGGUCCUGGUGCUGUCCUUAGCGCGCAUUUGUUCUGGAGAAGGGGCUUUGCUUGCCAGCAGUCAACAUUAUUGCAUGUUGUUUUACAAGUUGUGGGACACAACUAUUUAUAGACUUAACAAUGGAGUAAUAAGGUACUUGUCACAAAGUGCAUAGGCCUAGGCUAUUUUGGAUACACGUUAUUUUGAUUUUGCAAACAUAUUAGGUCUACUUGUAUUUAUAUUUAAAAUGUUCUUUCUCAACCAGUUUGUGCUGAUUUUGUGCAUAUUAAGUCAUAAAAGCCUAUUUGAUUUUUUUGUGUACUAUUUAAUCUGCUAAAAAACGGAACAAACAAGAAGCAAAAUUGUAGCCCGAAGGCGACAAAAAUGUUUUGCAAUAUCAGCACCACCCCAAUUGCCAUAUGAAUGCAUUGCAUAGAACGCUUUCAGAAACAAGCAUUGUAACUGCACCAAGAAACAUAUUUGACUUAUUUUUGGCGGUCGUUCCAAAUCUGUUUAUGCGUGAACCAACUGUGACAACGUUAUGGUUGAGCCAGCCAAACGCUUUCAUGGGAACCGCACUUGGGAUGUAUAAAUAGCCUCGGCUCUGUCGCUGUGAGGCCGAACACUCCUUCCAGCUUGAGAGAGAAACCUGGUAUCCGCAACAAGUCACAAGUGCAAGUGUAGCGGACGCCUGUGAACAAGACUCAAGAGAGCCGAACAUGCAUGCUGAAGUCCCGCAGGAGUUGAUAGAGAGACUGUCCCACAGCGAAAUCCACAGCAUCAGCGACCUCCAGCGGCUAUUGGACUCCGAGAUAGACGCCCCCGUAGGUGCGGAAAAUGAGGUCAUGGAGGAGACCAAGCCGAUGCAGAAGCAUCAUAAGAACUACUCCCAACAGCAUGGCUACUCAGACCUGAAGAGCUCACAGAUACACAGCCGACGCAAGAGGAGCGUUGAGGAGGCGGUGCCUGCGGUGUGUAAGACGCGGACGGUGAUCUAUGAGAUCCCGCGCAGCCAGGUGGACCCCACGGCUGCCAACUUCCUGAUAUGGCCGCCGUGCGUGGAGGUCAAGAGGUGCACGGGAUGCUGCAACACCAGCAACAUGCGCUGCCACCCCUCACGCAGGCACCACCGCACCGUUAAGGUGGCCAAGGUGGAGUAUGUGCGGAGGAAACCCAAGCUGAAGGAGGUCUUGGUCAGGUUAGAAGACCACCUGGAGUGUGUGUGCCAGUCACAACAUCACGUGACCGAGCACUCAGACGCAGACACAGACCACCAUACUAGGGCUAAAGGUAGGAAAAGGAAACCUAAAAAGCUAAAGCUCAACAAGGAUUUAUUGGCGACAUAAUAAACUUGAACACAUUAUUCCAAAGUCCGACCGCCGGACCCCCCGGAUCCAACAGUGGACGUAAGGUGAGACCCCAGCAGCAUUGGACUUCAGUGUGGAAGGGGCCAAAGACAGGAUGCUGCCAUAUUUGGACUGCUGACCUACCCCCUUCCCUGACCCCACCCCACGCCACCUACCGCCUUUUAAAAACAAAGAUUACUGUAAAGAGAAAAAAAGACAAAAAGUUAAUAAAAUGCCAAAGGUGCUUUUUUCUAUUACCGUAAAAAGUAAUGCAGAAGGUCUCUGCCAAGCGCAGCAGAACCAACCAAUCGAACAAUGACGCGGAUGAGGAUGGUGAAGCUGAUAAAGAGCUGGGCAGAAAAGAGAGGAGGAGGAGGACAAGAUGGGUUGUCGUUUGUUGAGUAAACAGGACAAUUUGACGAUCACAGAGAGAGAUCCAGGAUGGAUCAUUGGAUUAAGCCUCGAUGGGGGAUCUGUCGACUGGAUCCUAAAAGGACACAGAGAGGGACAAUCAGUGGACUCUUCGGGACAUGUGGAGGCUUGCAUGUUCCUAGCCGUUGGCCUAAGUGACACUUGCCUGGACAGUCAAUGACUGACAGUGAGAGAGGGAGAGAGGGAAAGAGAUGUUCAGAGAAGUUGUAGAGAGGUGUAGAAGGUACUGGUCGUGUUGCUUGUUGUUCCAGAACUCUCUGUACACUGUAGUGGAACUUGUGAACAUUCUGGAACUCAUAGAAUGGUCGCCCAUUUAGUCUAUUCUGGAUAAAGUGUUUGGAAUCAUCAGGACCUGUUGUUCCAAGAUGUCUUCUCUGCUUCUCUCUCCUGGGUUCCCCUGUCUGCUCCUAUUGGGAUUGUGCCAGUCACCAUAUACACUACAGAACGAUUCAGAAAGGAAGAUUCAUUCAUUGCUACUAAUAAACUAUUUAUACGUGUGAACGUUUUCCUUUCUCUCUCUCUCCCUCCAAGACCUUAUGUUUUCUGUGACAUGUAAGAUUCAUGUUCUGUCUGAUCUUCUGGUAGUGAAUCUUCAUGUCCACAUGUUGUUUGUAGUUGUUCAUGUAGUUGUUACUCAUGUUCAAUGUUGCCUUAUUAUGUGCCAGUAUGUUAUCUGAACAGUCUCAAGUCUAGUUGUAAUGGCUGGAAAUGUAAGGGAGCGUGAGAAGGAGGAGAUGGGAGGACAGAGUCUGUACAAGUACAGGAAGAUGCUUUAUUUUUGUUAACAAAAUAUAUUAUGCUUACUUAUAUUCAAGCAGGAAGUAUGUUUGUUAUUUCUUUGUUUGUUGUGGUUGAAUGCUUUUAUUUAAUCCAUGGAAACGAUGCAGGAAUGGGGGUGGUGAAGUGUAUAAGGCCCCAGUGCUCCCUGUUUGGUGGUGUAGGGUAGGCUUACAUCAGCAGUGCUGUACUGUAUUAUCUAGAGAGAUGGAUAGAGCUAACCUGGUCCCAGAUCAGUUUGUGUUGUCCUGCAAACACAUAUAGUCAUUGGCAAGGCAGCACAAACCGAUCUGAGAUCAGGUUAGUGGAGAGCUGGCUGAGGAAGACUCUGUCUGGGGCAUCGUUGGACUGUCUCUUUAACCCAGUUAUCUCGCCAAAAGUUACACCCAGUAACCAGAGCGUCAUUAUACACAACAGAACACACACGUUCAGCAUGUGUGUGUGUGUGUGCACAAAUGUGUGUGUGAAACCACUUUUAAACCACAUCACACUCCUUUGAUAAGAUGGUGCCCAGUCCGCCCCACCAGCACACAAGCUGUUCUUAACGAGUGCAAAGUCCAUCUUGAAUGAGAGAGUUUGUGAACAAUUCAACAUGAAUGGUUCCCUGGUUAAUCAAGCAGCAGUCUUCCAUUGACACGUCAACAACGAUGAAGACUGUUCCUCGGUUGAUGAGUGAAAGAUUAAAAGAGAAGAUACCACUGUUUAUGGAGAGAUUGACACCAAAUCUCUAACAACACCCUAUGUCCCGUACGGUGAAGUGCACUACUUUAGACCAGAGCCACUGGCCAAAAGUAGUGUGCUACACAGGGAAUAGGUUGUCGUUUGGCACACACUGAAUCAAUAGAAAGACCUGGGCACUUUUCCAAAAUGUCUCAGAGUAGGACUGCUGUUCAUCUUAUACAUUAUGAUCUAAACAGCUAAACUGAUCCAAGAUCAGCACUUUAUGAAGUCCUGGGUGAGAGGCAUGUUGAGAGAAAAUAGAUGACUGAAGAAGCAACAACACUGUAUCUGCAGCUGCUUUGUGUUGUGGUAACAACAUGUUCAACUGCACUAUACAGACUUCCAAGGUGAUUCCAUUGGUGCUAUAUGUAUAAAGGAAAUCAGAAGAAGUUUCACCACCAUUUUGCAAUGCAUUCAUUUAUUCAUUCAUUGUCAAUAGACCAGGGACCAUUGCUUACAGUAACUAAAGAAACUACAACAACACAAGCUUAUACCAUUUUUUAUUUGGGCCUCUAUUGGAUAAAAACAGCAAUGAUUAUAAUUUAUAUAUUUAUGUUUUCAAUAAUAAAUACAUUCUGCUUAUCAAACUGUA